UACGUAGGGGGCAAGCGUUGUCCGGAAUCAUUGGGCGUAAAGAGCGCGUAGGCGGCCCUGUAAGUCCGCUGUGAAAGUCAAGGGCUCAACCCUUGGAUGCCGGUGGAUACUACAGGGCUAGAGUCCGGAAGAGGCGAGUGGAAUUCCUGGUGUAGCGGUGAAAUGCGCAGAUAUCAGGAGGAACACCAAUGGCGAAGGCAGCUCGCUGGGACGUGACUGACGCUGAGACGCGAAAGCGUGGGGAGCAAACGGG
rnacentral:rRNA from 1 species